rnacentral:rRNA from 1 species
CACGUAGGGGGCGAGCGUUGUCCGGAUUUAUUGGGCGUAAAGAGCUCGUAGGCGGCUUUGUCAGUCGGGUGUGAAACCUCCAGGCUCAACCUGGAGCCGCCACCCGAUACUGCAAUAGCUAGAGUCCGGUAGGGGAGCAUGGAACUCCUGGUGUAGCGGUGAAAUGCGCAGAUAUCGGGAGGAACACCAAUGGCGAAGGCAGCUCGCUGGGACGUAACUGACGCUGAGACGCGAAAGCGUGGGGAGCAAACAGG